CAGCUAAUUUUUGUAUUUGCAGUAGAGAUGGGAUUUCACUACAUUAGCUAGGCUGGUCUCGAACUCCUGACCUCAGUUGACCCACCUGCCUUGGCCUCCCAAAGUACUAGGGUUACAGAUGUGAGCCACUGUGCCCAGUUGAGAUCUGAUGGUUUUAUACAUGUUUGACGGUUGCUCCUUCACAUGUUCACACUCUCUGUAUGGCCACCAUGUAAGUCAGAUCUGGUUCCCUUCUGCCAUGAUUGUAAGUUUCCUGAGGCCUUCUCAGCCAUGCGAAACUGUGAGUCAAUUAAACCUCUUUCCUUUAUAAAUUACCCAGCCUCAGGUAUUUCUUUAUAUCAGUGUGAAAACAGACUGAUAUAAUUUCUGAUAAUCAUGCUUGAGGAAUUGGGGGAUUCAGACUACCUGGGAUCAAAUUGUGGCCUCACCCUUAGCAGUCACAUGACCUUGGGGAAGUUACUUACCUUCUCCAUCUCAAGUUCUUCUGUAAAAUCUGUAAAUGAGAUUGUUUCUGAAGGUUAAAUGAGCAUAUCACAGUGGGGACACUGUCAGGCACAUACUACUUGCCAGAUGUCGAGUAUUCAUCUUUACUGAAUUAGGAUGGUGGUAACCCACUUUAUGGCUCUCAAUUUUGUAUGACAAAAUCAUGCAUAGUGCUUUGUUAGUAAAAGAAAGAAAAUCUGAAAGUCCCUGCCAUGGAAGGAAGAAAUAGCGGGGAGAAAAGGGAGUUGGUAAGUUUCAGCAUUUCAGAGCUUGGAGGGACAAGUUAGGUUUCUAUUUUAUGGAGAAGGAGGUGGAGGCAGGAUGGGUCCCAAGGUGUCAUUCAAGACACACAGCCAUAACUCUUUAUUGAGAAUAUGCUAGGGCCCCAGGGAUUGCUGUGUUCAAGUUGCAGACAAAAACAACCACUCAUUGGAAGACAGGAGAAGAGUGUUUAGUUACAAAAGCAAAAAAAAUAGAUACAAAAAUAGAUACAUUCAGGUGUAUCUAUAUUCAGUCAGCAAAUAAAAGUUGUUCAACUUGGUUGCUAAUGGGACCCACUCUAGUGAGGCUUUGUGUAGAACUCAGAGAGGAAGAAGGCUUCAAGUAACGAACUACCCUGUGCUUUUCUUAGGACUAAAAAUCUCCGGAAGCUGGUGAUGGAUGAAAACCUUAGUCCCACUGGCACUGCACGAGGGGCCAGGAGAGCAUCAUCAUCAUAAGCCACAGGGUGGGGCAGCCCAGGCAGGGGCAUUCUGAGCUGUUGGGGAGGGGUGGCAGCCAGGAUGGGGCACUGUGAGCUGUCAGGGAGGGCAUUAUGAAGUGUGAGGUGGGGCAUUGUGUGCCACAUGCCUAGGCACCCACCUGGGCCAGUGGGCUUCAGUCUGUAGGUGACUACAAAAGGAGGAGGAGCUCCGUCUGUUCUCUCUUCAGGCAGUUGUUGUGUCUCUCAGUGCUUGUUGGGUUCACAACCUAUUAAAUAAGCGGGCUGGUCUUCACCCUCGCAGACAAGUCAGCUCAGGGGAAGCGGCAGGGUGCGGGCCUUGGCAGUCCCAUCCGGGGCCGGGGCCGGGUUGUAAGGUGGGCAGGCGAGCAGCAGGCAAGACCAUCUCUGCAAGUGCAGCAUAGCCUUGGCCUAGGGCAGCGGGAGUGUGAGCCCAAGCUGUGAGCAGAGGCCCAGGUGGUGGCAUACAGUAGAGGCGUUCCAUGGGGAACAUACUGACCUGUUGUGUGUGCCCCAGGAUCAGCCCCGAGUUUGACCAGCAACAGGGGUCUGUGUGUCCCUCUGAAUCUGAGAUCUAUGAGGCAGGAGCUGGGGACAGGAUGGCAGGAGCUGGGGAUGGGAUGGCAGGAGCGCCCACUGUUGCUGCUGUGCAGCCUGCUGCGGUGACUGUUGAAGUUAGUAAGGACCUUCACAUGCACCACAUCCAUGACCGGGAGAUGCCUGAAGCUUUGGAGUUUAACCCUUCUGCCAAUCCAGGGGCAAACACAAUAUUCCAGAGGAACUCUCAAACAGAUGCUUUGGAGUUUAACACUUCUGCCAAUCCAGAGGCAAGCACACUAUUCCAGAGGAACUCUCAAGCAGAUGUGAUAGAAAUAGGAAGAAGCAAUUAUACAAACCAUGUAUCUACUGUGCAUUUCAGUCAACAAUACAGCUCAUGUUUGACAAUAUUCCUUGACAGCACAGCCAGCCAGCCUUAUCUUACAAUGACAAUAAUAUCAGAUGCAGAUGGAUCUUUGACCUUAUUUGAUGAACAGUUAUACUCAUUUACUGUUUCCACCAUGCACAUUACCCAGAUGAGAAAUGGAGGUGGGAGUUUUAGUAACUAUUCCUCCUCCAUUCCAUCGACUCCCAGCACCAGCCAGGAGGACCUUCAGAUCAAUGUUCCUCCCACUGCCAACACACCCACGCCCAUUUGCAAGCAGUCCAAGCACUGGUCCAAGCUGUUUACAUCUAAGAAAGGGAGUGACCCGGACAAAGAGAACAAAGCCCCGGAGAGUCAUACUGACACCAUCGGGAGCGGCAGAGCCAUCCCCAUUAAACAGGGCAUGCUCUUAAAGCUAAGUGGGAAAUGGCUGAAGAAAUGGAAAAAGAAAUAUGUUACCCUCUGUGACAAUGGCAUGCUCACCUAUUAUUCAAGCUUAGGUGAUUACAUGAAGAACAUUCAUAAAAAAGAGAUUGAUCUUCGAACAUCUACCAUCAAAGUCCCAGGAAAGAGGCCACCCCUAGCCACAUUGGCCUGCGUGCCCAUUUCCAGCUCUAAAAGCAAUGGCCUAUCCAAGGACAUGAACAGUCUAUGUACCUCAGCCAAUUCAGACACCAGGCUGAGUGACUCCAUAUGCUCCAGCUCCAAUAUCUCCAGCACCACCAGCCCCAAGCGCAGCCCACCCCCCUCUCCUCAUGCCAACAAAAGGAAACAUGGAAGGAAGAAAAGCACCAAACACUUAAAAGACGAUGGCUUCUCCGGCACUGCUGAAGAACGAGAAGAAAACUUUAUCAUUGUGUCCCUCACUGGCCAAACAUGGCACUUUGAAGCCACGUCGUAUGAGAAGUGGGAUGCCUGGGUCCAAGCCAUCGAGAGCCAGAUCCUGGCCAGCCUGCAGUCAUGCGAGAGCAGCAAAAGCAAGUUCUGGCUAAUGAGCUAGAGGGAGGCCAUGGCCCUGCAGUCCAUCCGAAAUGUGUGGGAACUCCCACUGUGUGCACUGUGAGACCCAGAAUCCUAACUGGGCCAGUUUGAACUUGGGAGUCCUCAUAUGUAUUGAAUGCUCAGGGAUCCACUGUAAUCUUGGCACCCGCCUUUCCCGAGUCUGAUCUCUGGACUUGGAUGACUGGCCAGUCGAGCUCAUGCAGGUUUUGUCAUCUAUUGGCAAUGAGCUAGCCAACAGCAUCUGGCAAGAGAGCAGCCAGGGGCGGAAGAAACCCUCAGUAGACUCCACAAGGGAAGAGAAGGAAUGGUGGAACCGUGCCAAAUAUGAGCAGAAGCUCUUCCUGGCUCCAUUACCCUCCACGGAGCUGUCCCUGGGCCAGCAUCUGCUGCAGGCCACCACUGAUGAGGACCUGCGGACAGCCAUCCUGCUGUUGGCACAUGGCUCCCGGGAGGAGGUGAAUGAGACCUGUGGGGAGGGAGACAGCUGCACGGUGCUCCAUCUGGCCUGCCGCAAGGGGAAUGUGGUCCUGGCGCAGCUCCUGAUCUGGUACGGGGUGGAUGUCAUGGCUGGAGAUGCCCACGGGAACAUAGCGCUGGCCUACGCCCGGCAGGCCUCCAGCCAGGAGUGCAUCAAGGUCCUGCUGCAGUACGGCUGCCCCGACGAGCACGUGUAGUAUCUGUUUAAUUUUAUUUGACUGCAGUCUCCUUGGUGCAAAAACAAAAUGGGGAAAUAAAUAAGAAUAACUCGGAAAUUCAAAAGGAAAUCACAAAUUCAGCUAAUAGCAGCAUUUUCAGUACAUUUCGUAAACUAAGUACAUAGACAAAAUGUUGAUUUUUCCGACGGUAAGAGAUAUUUUAUGUCCUUUUGCUUAGGUGUAUGUGUUAGUCUCAGGCCCUCCUGGGCGACAUUGCCCGAGUCACACAGGCUUCUGUAUUAUGUAUUUAGAUAUGUGAAAAUAUAUUUGAAAAAAGUUCA